rnacentral:rRNA from 1 species
GACGAACGCUGGCGGCGUGCUUAACACAUGCAAGUCGAACGGAAAGGCCCUUCGGGGUACUCGAGUGGCGAACGGGUGAGUAACACGUGGGUGAUCUGCCCUGCACUUUGGGAUAAGCCUGGGAAACUGGGUCUAAUACCGAAUAGGACCACGCGCUUCAUGGUGUGUGGUGGCAAGCUUUUGCGGUGUGGGAUGGGCCCGCGGCCUAUCAGCUUGUUGGUGGGGGAAUGGCCUACCAAGGCGACAACGGGUAGCCGGCCUGAGAGGGUGACCGGCCACACUGGGACUGAGAUACGGCCCAGACUCCUACGGGAGGCAGCAGUGGGGAAUAUUGCACAAUGGGCGCAAGCCUGAUGCAGCGACGCCGCGUGAGGGAUGACGGCCUUCGGGUUGUAAACCUCUUUCAAUAGGGACGAAGCGCAAGUGACGGUACCUAUAGAAGAAGCACCGGCCAACUACGUG